CCUAGGGAGGCAGCAGUGGGGAAUAUUGGACAAUGGGCGAAAGCCUGAUCCAGCCAUGCCGCGUGUGUGAAGAAGGCCUUCGGGUUGUAAAGCACUUUCAGUGGGGAAGAAAGCCUUGGGGCUAAUACCCUCGAGGAAGGACAUCACCCACAGAAGAAGCACCGGCUAACUCCGUGCCAGCAGCCGCGGUAAUACGGAGGGUGCGAGCGUUAAUCGGAAUUACUGGGCGUGAAGCGCGCGUAGGCGGUCUGAUAAGCCGGUUGUGAAAGCCCCGGGCUCAACCUGGGAACGGCAUCCGGAACUGUCAGGCUAGAGUGCAGGAGAGGAAGGUAGAAUUCCCGGUGUAGCGGUGAAAUGCGUAGAGAUCGGGAGGAAUACCAGUGGCGAAGGCGGCCUUCUGGACUGACACUGACGCUGAGGUGCGAAAGCGUGGGUAGCAAACAGGAUUAGAUACCCCUGUAGUC
rnacentral:rRNA from 1 species